GAUGAACGCUGACAGAAUGCUUAACACAUGCAAGUCUUUGGCGAAUCUGUGCUUGCACAGGCUAGCCAAGGCGGACGGGUGAGUAACGCGUAAAGAACUUGCCCUGCAGACAGGGAUAACAGACGGAAACGACUGAUAACACCUGAUACAGUUGCCGGCACGCAUGUGCCUGGCAAUGAAAAGAGAUGCUGCAGGAGAGCUUUGCGUCCUAUUAGCUUGUUGGUGAGGUGACGGCUCACCAAGGCGAUGAUAGGUAGCCGGCCUGAGAGGGUGAACGGCCACAAGGGGACUGAGAUUCGGCCCUUACUCCUACGGGAGGCAGCAGUGGGGAAUAUUGGACAAUGGGGGCAACCCUGAUCCAGCAAUUCUGUGUGCACGAAGAAGGUUUUCGGAUUGUAAAGUGCUUUCAGCAGGGAAGAAGAAAGUGACGGUACCUGCAGAAGAAGCGACGGCUAAAUACGUG
rnacentral:rRNA from 1 species